UGGGGGAUAUUGCACAAUGGGCGAAAGCCUGAUGCAGCGACGCCGCGUGAAGGAGGAAGUACCUCGGUAUGUAAACUUCUAUCAGCAGGGAAGAGGAUGACGGUACCUGACCAAGAAGCUCCGGCUAAAUACGUGCCAGCAGCCGCGGUAAUACGUAUGGAGCAAGCGUUAUCCGGAUUUACUGGGUGUAAAGGGAGCGCAGGCGGCGCGCCAAGCCAGGUGUGAAAGGCGGGGGCUCAACCCCCGGACUGCACUUGGAACUGGCGUGCUGGAGUGCAGGAGAGGCAGGCGGAAUUCCUAGUGUAGCGGUGAAAUGCGUAGAUAUUAGGAGGAACACCAGUGGCGAAGGCGGCCUGCUGGACUGUGACUGACGCUGAGGCUCGAAAGCGUGGGGAGCAAACAGG
rnacentral:rRNA from 1 species